CGGGUGAGUAACGCGUAAGCAACCUGCCCUCUAGAUGGGGACAACAGCUGGAAACGGCUGCUAAUACCGAAUGCGUUCUUUCUGUCGCAUGGCAGAGGGAAGAAAGGGAGGCUCUUCGGAGCUUUCGCUGGAGGAGGGACUUGCGUCUGAUUAGCUAGUUGGAGGGGUAACGGCCCACCAAGGCGACGAUCAGUAGCCGGUCUGAGAGGAUGAACGGCCACAUUGGGACUGAGACACGGCCCAGGCUCCUACGGGAGGCAGCAGUGGGGAAUCUUCCGCAAUGGACGAAAGUCUGACGGAGCAACGCCGCGUGAACGAUGACGGCCUUCGGGUUGUAAAGUUCUGUUAUACGGGACGAAUGGUACGACGGUCAAUACCCGUCGUAAGUGACGGUACCGUAAGAGAAAGCCACGGCUAACUACGUGCCAGCAGCCGCGGUAAUACGUAGGUGGCAAGCGUUGUCCGGAAUUAUUGGGCGUAAAGGGCGCGCAGGCGGCGUCGUAAGUCGGUCUUAAAAGUGCGGGGCUUAACCCCGUGAGGGGACCGAAACUGCGAUGCUAGAGUAUCGGAGAGGAAAGCGGAAUUCCUAGUGUAGCGGUGAAAUGCGUAGAUAUUAGGAGGAACACCAGUGGCG
rnacentral:rRNA from 1 species